CGGAAGGUAGCAUAGUCUGGCCUAAUGCCUCCUGUUUUGGGAACAGAAGAUCAAAGGUUCAAAUCCUUUUCUUCCGA
rnacentral:tRNA from 1 species